rnacentral:rRNA from 1 species
AGUGAACGCUGGCGGUAGGCCUAACACAUGCAAGUCGAACGGCAGCACAGUAAGAGCUUGCUCUUACGGGUGGCGAGUGGCGGACGGGUGAGGAAUACAUCGGAAUCUACUUUUUCGUGGGGGAUAACGUAGGGAAACUUACGCUAAUACCGCAUACGACCUACGGGUGAAAGCAGGGGAUCUUCGGACCUUGCGCGAUUGAAUGAGCCGAUGUCGGAUUAGCUAGUUGGCGGGGUAAAGGCCACCAGGGCGACGAUCCGUAGCCGGUCUGAGAGGAUGAUCAGCCACACUGGAACUGAGACACGGUCCAGACUCCUACGGGAGGCAGCAGUGGGGAAUAUUGGACAAUGGGCGCAAGCCUGAUCCAGCCAUACCGCGUGGGUGAAGAAGGCCUUCGGGUUGUAAAGCCCUUUUGUUGGGAAAGAAAAGCAGCAGGUUAAUACCCCGCUGUUCUGACGGUACCCAAAGAAUAAGCACCGGCUAACUUCGUG